rnacentral:rRNA from 1 species
GACGAACGCUGGCGGCGUGCUUAACACAUGCAAGUCGAACGGAAAGGCCCCUUUGGGGGUACUCGAGUGGCGAACGGGUGAGUAACACGUGAGUAACCUGCCCUUGACUUCGGGAUAACUUCAGGAAACUGGGGCUAAUACCGGAUAGGAAUCCUUGCUGCAUGGUGGGGGUUGGAAAGCUUCGGCGGUUUUGGAUGGACUCGCGGCUUAUCAGCUUGUUGGUGGGGUAGUGGCUUACCAAGGCUUUGACGGGUAGCCGGCCUGAGAGGGCGACCGGCCACAUUGGGACUUAGGUACGGCCCAGACUCCUACGGGAGGCAGCAGUGGGGAAUAUUGCACAAUGGGCGGCAGCCUGAUGCAGCAACGCCGCGUGCGGGAUGACGGCCUUCGGGUUGUAAACCGCUUUCAGCAGGGGCGAAGCUUGUGGUGACGGUACCUGCAGAAGAAGCACCGGCUAACUACGUG